rnacentral:sRNA from 1 species
GCCAGGCAUAGUGGCACACACCUGUAAUCCUAGCUGCUCGGGAGGCUGAGGCAGGAGGAUCAUGAGUUCAAAGCCAGCCUCAGUAAAAGCAAGUCGCUAAGCAACUCAGUGAUACCCUGUCUCUA